rnacentral:piRNA from 1 species
GAGGAAGAAAAAAGGCCUGUGGA